rnacentral:rRNA from 1 species
UAAGGAAUAUUGGUCAAUGGACGCAAGUCUGAACCAGCCAUGCCGCGUGAAGGAUUAAGGUCCUCUGGAUUGUAAACUUCUUUUAUCUGGGACGAAAAAAGGCGAUUCUUCGUCACUUGAGUGUACCAGAUGAAUAAGCACCGGCUAACUCCGUGCCAGCAGCCGCGGUAAUACGGAGGGUGCAAGCGUUAUCCGGAUUCACUGGGUUUAAAGGGUGCGUAGGCGGGCAGGUAAGUCAGUGGUGAAAUCCUAGAGCUUAACUCUAGAACUGCCAUUGAUACUAUCUGUCUUGAAUAUUGUGGAGGUAAGCGGAAUAUGUCAUGUAGCGGUGAAAUGCUUAGAUAUGACAUAGAACACCUAUUGCGAAGGCAGCUUACUACGCAUAUAUUGACGCUGAGGCACGAAAGCGUGGGGAUCAAACAGGAUUAGAUACCCUGGUAGUCCACGCCCUAAACGAUGAUUACUCGACAUUUGUGAUACACUAUAAGUGUCUGAGCGAAAGCAUUAAGUAAUCCACCUGGGAAGUACGACCGCAAGGUUGAAACUCAAAGGAAUUGACGGGGUCAUA